GACGAAGGGAGCUAGCGUUAUUCGGAAUUACUGGGCGUAAAGAGCGUGUAGGCGGUUUAGUAAGUUGAAAGUGAAAGCCCAAAGCUUAACUUUGGAAUUGCUUUUAAAACUACUAAACUAGAGUGUGGUAGAGGGUGAUGGAAUUCCUAGUGUAGGGGUGAAAUCCUUAGAUAUUAGGAGGGACACCGAAGGCGAAAGCAGUCACCUGGGCCACUACUGACGCUGAGACGCGAAAGCAUGGGGAGCAAACAGG
rnacentral:rRNA from 1 species